CCUACGGGAGGCUGCAGUGAGGAAUAUUGGUCAAUGGGCGGAAGCCUGAACCAGCCAAGUAGCGUGCAGGAUGACGGCCCUACGGGUUGUAAACUGCUUUUAUACGGGAAUAACGCGCCUUACGUGUAGGGCUUUGCAUGUACCGUAUGAAUAAGGACCGGCUAAUUCCGUGCCAGCAGCCGCGGUAAUACGGAAGGUCCGGGCGUUAUCCGGAUUUAUUGGGUGUAAAGGGUUCGUAGGCGGCACGUAAAGUCUGGUGUUAAAGGCAGGGGCUCAACUUCUGUACGGCACUGGAUACUGGCGGGCUAGAAUGCGGUAGAGGUAAGGGGAAUUCCUGGGGUAGCGGUGAAAUGCUUAGAUAUCAGGAGGAACACCGGUGGCGUAAGCGGUUUACUGGGCCGUAAUUGACGCUGAGGAACGAAAGCGAGGGUAGCAAAUAGGAUUAGAUACCCCAGUAGUC
rnacentral:rRNA from 1 species